rnacentral:piRNA from 1 species
UCAAAGGGACAAAGGCCACGUGGG